rnacentral:rRNA from 1 species
GCUAAGGACAUCUUCGGAUGGCCAGGACUUGACUUUUGUCUGCUCACUAAACCUUACUUUAAGUGCAUCUCUGGUGUUACUUAUAGUAUUACUUUGACAUAUGGCCUCAAAUCAGGUAGGACUACCCGCUGAACUUAAGCAUAUCAAUAAGCGGAGGAAAAGAAACUAACAAGGAUUCCCCUAGUAACGGCGAGUGAAGCGGGAAGAGCUCAAAUUUGAAAUCUGGUGGCCUCAGGUCAUCCGAGUUGUAAUCUAUAGAAACGUUUUCCGUGCUGGCUCAUGUACAAGUCCCUUGGAACAGGGCGUCAUAGAGGGUGAGAAUCCCGUCCUUGACAUGAACUACCAGUGCUCUGUGAUACGUUUUCAACGAGUCGAGUUGUUUGGGAAUGCAGCUCAAAAUGGGUGGUAAAUUCCAUCUAAAGCUAAAUAUUGGCGAGAGACCGAUAGCGAACAAGUACCGUGAGGGAAAGAUGAAAAGCACUUUGGAAAGAGAGUUAAACAGUAUGUGAAAUUGUUAAAAGGGAAACGAUUGAAGUCAGUCGUGCUCUUUGGAUUCAGCCGGUUCUGCCGGUGUACUUCCAUUGAGUGGGGUCAACAUCAGUUUUGAUCGCUGGAUAAAGGCAGGAAGAAUGUAGCACCUCCGGGUGAACUUAUAGCUUUCUGUCACAUACAGUGGUUGGGACUGAGGAACGCAGCAUGCCUUUAUGGCCGGGAUUCGUCCACGUACAUGCU